GGGGAUGUAGCUCAGUUGGUAGAGUGCUUGCCUCCCAUACACAAGGCCCUGGGUUCAAUCCCAGCACCA
rnacentral:tRNA from 1 species